rnacentral:rRNA from 1 species
UACGGAGGGAGCUAGCGUUGUCCGAAGUUACUGGGCGUAAAGCGCACGUAGGCGGACCAGAAAGUCAGGGGUGAAAUCCCGGGGCUCAACCCCGGAACUGCCUUUGAAACUUCUGGUCUUGAGGUCGAGAGAGGUGAGUGGAAUUCCGAGUGUAGAGGUGAAAUUCGUAGAUAUUCGGAGGAACACCAGUGGCGAAGGCGGCUCACUGGCUCGAUACUGACGCUGAGGUGCGAAAGCGUGGGGAGCAAACAGG